GAUGAAGAACGUAGCGAAAUGCGAUAAGUAGUGUGAAUUGCAGAAUUCAGUGAAUCAUCGAAUCUUUGAACGCACAUUGCGCCCCUUGGUAUUCCAUGGGGCAUGCCUGUUCGAGCGUCAUUUGUACCUUCAAGCUUUGCUUGGUGUUGGGUGUUUGUCCAUUCUCUUGCAGAGGGACUCGCCUUAAAGUAAUUGGCACCCAGUGUUUUGGUUUUGAAGCGCAGCACAAGUCGCGAUUCAAAGCUAUACGCCCGCUUCCACAAGCCUUUUUCACUUUUGACCUCGGAUCAGGUAGGGAUACCCGCUGAACUUAAGCAUAUCAAUAAGCGGAGGA
rnacentral:misc_RNA from 1 species